rnacentral:rRNA from 1 species
UACAGAGGGUGCAAGCGUUAAUCGGAAUUACUGGGCGUAAAGCGAGCGUAGUCGGUUAUUUAAGUCGGAUGUGAAAUCCCCGGGCUCAACCUGGGAAUUGCAUUCGAUACUGGAUAGCUAGAGUUCGGCAGAGGGAAGCGGAAUUUCUGGUGUAGCGGUGAAAUGCGUAGAUAUCAGAAGGAACAUCAGUGGCGAAAGCGGCUUCCUGGACCAGAACUGACGAUCAGGCUCGAAAGCGUGGGGAGCAAACAGGAUUAGAAACCCCAGUAGUCC